AAAAUAUAUUUUAUAUUUGAGAUUCUUCAGAGUAGCCACCCUUUGCCUUGAUGACAGCGUGAACCCAACAUUUAAUUUGUUAAGUUGUCAACAAGUUAAUAGGCUAUUUACCGUAUUGCAAAAGUGAUAUUGAAUUGUGUUUGAUUUUCAAAGCAACCAAAUAUCAACUUUUGAAGGAGAUGUACUGUAUUACGUUAUAUGUUUACUGUAUGAAUUUAAACAUAAUCCACCCUGACAUUUAUUUUGUUUUAUUAUUAUUCCAUAGGAGCUUGUCAAUUUAUUGCUGUGUGGACAGGCUGUGUCCAAUGUCUUCAACAACAAUAUGGAGCUGGAUUCAGGCAAUGGAAACCUGACCCUUCUCAAGGGAAUAAGAUGUCGCAGUGACAUUGGACUGCUGUAAAAACACAUGGUUACAUGACACAGUAUUAAUGUCUACACUUCUCAACCAAGACGUUCUAUUUCCAGAUACCUUUUUUUUUCUAAUGAUCAUGUAUGGUUUGAUACAUUUUGAAGGUUGGCUCCAACCUGAAGACUCCCAAGUUCCCUAUCUGGGUGGUGUGCAGUGAGAGCCAUUUCAGCGUGCUCUUUGGUGUGCAGGAGCUGCUGAGUGAGUGAUCGGGGAGUUUGACCUGUACUACUACGAUGGCCUAGCCAAUCAGCAGGAGGAAAUCUGCUUAACUGUCUUUGUAGGUACCUCAGGAAUAUCUGCUGGCUGCCAAGGUGUGGACACUGAUCUCAUUCCUCCUCUUGAACACUGUAUACGGACCAAAUGGCAGAACUUGAGAUUCACGGCCUUGGUGAAGACACAGGAACUCGAUGAGUCAACAUUAUGGCAUCUUCGUCGAUACCAUGCCGCGUCUCUGGCAGAGUAUGCGGUGAUGAAGAUGACACACCACA